rnacentral:hammerhead_ribozyme from 1 species
AUUCAGCUGAAGAGUCCAAAGUAGGACGAAACACACGUCCUAGUU